UAAGUACUUCCUCCGUAAAAUAAAAGAUGUCUCAAUUUUGACUAAAUUUGAAUGCAUUUAUACACUAAUUCAUGCCUAAAACAUUCAAAUUUUGACAAACUUGAAACAUCUUUUGUUGAACGGAGGGAGCACGUA
rfam:Brachypodium distachyon strain Bd21 chromosome 1, whole genome shotgun sequence.